CAGGAGGCGAUGCUCUGCUCCUCUUUGCCAGUGGCUUGGAGGGACUGGUUGCUGUGGCAGCAGAGAGGAAAAGGCAAGGAGCAAGAGUGUAGCACCUGUUUCCUUCACCUGGCAUGAACGCUUGGACUACUCCGGCUAAGGUGUUUGCUGAGCAGACCUGCGUGGGAAGCAAUGCUAGCUGAACCUGUACAAAGGGAGAAACUCAUUAGAGCUGCUGAAAAGACUGCGGAGAGGCGCUUUGUGGAUUGAUUCAGCACUACGAGCGGAUCCAAGCCUUGUAUCAACAAAUACCUUAACAACGUCGAAAGUAGCCUAUUUUAAGAGAAAAUAUGCAGAAGAAGAAGAAGAUCUACAUCAGGAUUACCAGGGGUAUUUUCCAAAACACCUGAUCCUACCUGAAGACCGGACUUGUAUUUUGAAACUUUCUCUGCAGAAGCUUCAGUUUCUGGAAGACCCCGAGAUCUAUCUCCGCCGGUCGGUCUUGAUUAACAAUUUGCUGCGGAAGAUCCACCUGGAGACCGAGCAGGAACGCUAUGAGUACUUUAAGGGAGCCCCGUGCUGCCGGACUGCCUACUCGGAUGCCAGAAAACGGCUGAAGUUCAUGGUGCAGGAAUGCCAGUCUCAGUCCCUUUAUUAUGAAGAGCUGCAUUCGUAUCAUAUCGUGCCUUACGAACCUACGGAGAAUGCCCUUUAUGGAGUGGGCUAUUCCAAUGGCCAUUUGGAGCAAAAUUCCCAGUUGCUUAUUUAUCAGAUGAAGUAAGGUGGCUUGUCUUUCUCAUGUUCGUUCCUGAACAUGGUGGCUUCUAAGCAUGUUAGUGGUUCUGAAUGUAAGGGAAGGUCUUCAGCUGUCUUGGGGAGAGCUUCAACAACGGCGUUCAGGACUUAGGCCUCUUUGGUUGACUUGGUGUCUGUAAGAAAUCAGUGCAAUAGCAGGAUUUCUGGGAAGCAGAAAGACCUUUAACCCAUUCGCGG